ensembl:misc_RNA Metazoa_SRP Metazoan signal recognition particle RNA
GCCGGGCGUGGUGGCGCAUGCCUGUAAUCCCAACUACUCGGGAGGCUGAGGCAGGAGAAUCACUUGAACCCGGGAGGCGGACGCUGCAGUGAGCUAGGAUCUCGCCACUGCACUCCAGCCUGGGCGACAGAGCGAGACUCUGUCUCAA